UAUUAAUAUACACAGACAACAUACGCGGAACUCAUCCCUUCCCCAAAACUCACACAUAAAGAUAAUCCACAGAUUCAAUGGUCGGCCAACCACCAUGGUGGUGGCGGCGCAUGACGGUGGCGACCGAGGAAGAGAGAGAGUGAGAGACCGAGAGAGUGAAGAGAGAGAGAGAGAGAGAGAGAGAGAGAGGGAGAACCGGCGGUCAAAGGCUCGGACCGUCGGUCGGUCCAUUUAUCCGAUGAUGGUGGUGAGCGACGGCGGACAGACGGCGGAUCCGUCGGACCGGCGACCUGAAGCGCCGGAAACGGCAGUGGUGUUGGCUAUAGUGUGGUUCGAAUUCUGGUUUCGUCGAGUUCACAUCAGUUCAUGUCGGGUCUGGGUUCAGUUCAACAAAUUCGAGUUCAGAUAACUCGGUUCAAGUUCGGGUGUUUCGGGUUCACUCCUUCAGAUUCACGUUUGGUCAGCAGAUUCGGAGACUCGGUACGGCGGUCGGCAUCUAGGUCCGGUAGCAGGCGUCUUGGACCGGUGGUCGGAUUCAAGGUCCGGCAGUCCUUGUUAUUAUCCGACAAAUUACCGGUAAAACCUCUGUCCAGUUUCUUUCACUUUUGGUUACUGUUGAAGAUUCAUGAAGAUGAUGGAUUCACUGUGUUGAAGGUUAUGUCGAAUUGUUGAUUAUUGCACAUGUUUUUGAUUCAAGUUCGGAACUUUUGAGAUUGCGGGUCAAGUCUCGGGUCCAGCCAACUCUGGUCAACGGCUCCGGUUGGGUCAAACAUCAGCCUAGGUUCGAGUCAGAAUUAUUUCAAGUGCGGGUUUUGAUCGGCUCGGGUCACGGUUAGUGGUUCGGCUCGACUCGGUUAAACCGAGUCAAGCUCAGUCAACUCAGCGAGUCGACUCAGCGAGUCGACUCAGCGAGUCGACUCAGCUGGCAAACUCAGUCCAUGUUUCGACAACUCGACGUGGAGGAUUUGGUAAAUGAAAUUUAGCAGCGCGUGUGAAUUGUGUUAUUUCAUAUAGAUUCCGUUCGAACCGAAUUACUUAACAACUAUACAUGUUUUCUUAUUUCAAUUGACGUAAUUUAUUAUUUGGUUAUUGAAUCUUGAUUGAAUUUUAAAAAUAA